GUGAGGAAUAUUGGUCAAUGGGCGAAAGCCUGAACCAGCCAUGUCGCGUGAAGGAUGAAGGUCCUAUGGAUUGUAAACUUCUUUUGCAGGAGGGUAAAGUGAGCUACGUGUAGUUCAUUGCAAGUACCCUGCGAAUAAGCAUCGGCUAACUCCGUGCCAGCAGCCGCGGUAAUACGGAGGAUGCGAGCGUUAUCCGGAUUUAUUGGGUUUAAAGGGUGCGUAGGCGGACUAAUUAGUCAGCGGUGAAAUUUUGCGGCUCAACCGUAAAACUGCCGUUGAAACUGUUAGUCUUGAGUGCUGUAGAGGUAGGCGGAAUGUGUGGUGUAGCGGUGAAAUGCUUAGAUAUCACACAGAACACCGAUUGCGUAGGCAGCUUACUGGAGCGCAACUGACGCUGAGGCACGAAAGCGUGGGGAUCGAACAGGAUUAGAUACCCCUGUAGUCC
rnacentral:rRNA from 1 species